UACGUAGGCAGCAAGCGUUGUUCGGAGUUACUGGGCGUAAAGGGUGUGUAGGCGGUUGGAUAAGUGUGGUGUGAAAUCUCCCGGCUCAACUGGGAGGGUGCGCUACAAACUGUCUGACUAGAGUGUGGGAUGGGUAAGUGGAAUUCCUGGUGUAGCGGUGAAAUGCGUAGAUAUCAGGAAGAACACCCGUGGCUAAGGCGGCUCUCUAGUACGGUACUGACGCUGAGACGCGAAAGCGUGGGGAGCGAACAGG
rnacentral:rRNA from 1 species